UGAAAAAUACAUGACACAAAUGGGUAGAGAAUAUAUUCGUUACUUGUUUUCACUGCUGCAGUUAAACCUUCUUUUAAAUGGGAAAACAUUUAUUUUACAAUAUCUGUUUAAGCUGUAAUUUUUCCGCUUUUAAGUGGCCGAAUACAUGAGCAUUUAAAAAAUAUAUAGUUUUCUCGACGUAAGUUUUAUACAUGUCAAAUACUUUCCGACUUUCAGUCGCAUUUCUAUCAAAAUAUUGUCAAUUCCCGUGAACAUCGUGCUUAGUAUGAAGCCUUUAGGGCUUGAUGCAAUUCAUUUUCGUAUUCUGACUAUCGUUAGGCUAUGUUUUUCAAACGUUGUUGGCAGAUUUUUUCGUUUAAAAAUUGUUUCACUCCUCAGUUUUUGCCGCGAAAACCAGAGCGGGCAGUUGCAUUUCACAGCGGGCAGUUGCGUUUCAGAGCGGGCCGGAUGC